rnacentral:rRNA from 1 species
CAAGGUCUCCGUUGGUGAACCAGCGGAGGGAUCAUUAUCGAGUUACCGCUCUAUAACCCUUUGUGAACAUACCUACAACUGUUGCUUCGGCGGGUAGGCCGUCCCCUGAAAAGGACGCCUCCCGGCCCGGAACGGACCCCCUCGCGGGGCCCGGACCCGGCGCCCGCCGGAGGAUAACCAAACUCUAUUUUAACGACGUUUCUUCUGAGUGGCAUAAGCAAAAUAAUCAAAACUUUUAACAACGGAUCUCUUGGUUCUGGCAUCGAUGAAGAACGCAGCGAAAUGCGAUAAGUAAUGUGAAUUGCAGAAUUCAGUGAAUCAUCGAAUCUUUGAACGCACAUUGCGCCCGCCAGCAUUCUGGCGGGCAUGCCUGUUCGAGCGUCAUUUCAACCCUCAAGCUCUGCUUGGUGUUGGGGCCCCACGGUCGACGUGGGCCCUCAAAGGUAGUGGCGGACCCUCCCGGAGCCUCCUUUGCGUAGUAACAUUUCGUCACGCACUGGGAUCCGGAGGGACUCUUGCCGUAAAACCCCCCAAUUCUUUCAAGGUUGACCUCGGAUCAGGUAGGAAUACCCGCUGAACUUAAGCA